rfam:Macaca mulatta chromosome 3, whole genome shotgun sequence.
UAUUAGGUUGGUGCAAAGGCAAUUGCGGUUUUUGCCAUUGAAAGUAAUGGCAUUGAAAGUAAUGGCAAAAACCGCAAUUGCCUUUGCACCAACCUAAUA